rnacentral:rRNA from 1 species
AACGAACGCUGGCGGCAUGCCUAACACAUGCAAGUCGAACGAGACCUUCGGGUCUAGUGGCGCACGGGUGCGUAACGCGUGGGAACCUGCCCUUAGGUUCGGAAUAACUCCCCGAAAGGGGUGCUAAUACCGGAUAAUGUCUUCGGACCAAAGAUUUAUCGCCUUUGGAUGGGCCCGCGUUGGAUUAGCUAGUUGGUAGGGUAAAAGCCUACCAAGGCGACGAUCCAUAGCUGGUCUGAGAGGAUGAUCAGCCACACUGGGACUGAGACACGGCCCAGACUCCUACGGGAGGCAGCAGUGGGGAAUAUUGGAAAAUGGGCGAAAGCCUGAUCCAGCUAUGCCGCGUGAGUGAUGAAGGCCUUAGGGUUGUAAAGCUCUUUUACCCGGGAUGAUAAUGACGGUCCCGGGAGAAUAAGCCCCGGCUAACUCCGUG